rnacentral:rRNA from 1 species
UACGUAGGGUGCGAGCGUUAAUCGGAAUUACAGGGCGUAAAGCGUGCGCAGGCGGUGAUGUAAGACCGAUGUGAAAUCCCCGGGCUUAACCUGGGAACUGCAUUGGUGACUGCAUUGCUGGAGUAUGGCAGAGGGGGGGUGGAAUUCCACGUGUAGCAGUGAAAUGCGUAGAGAUGUGGAGGAACACCGAUGGCGAAGGCAGCCCCCUGGGUCAAGAUUGACGCUCAUGCACGAAAGCGUGGGGAGCAAACAGG